rnacentral:misc_RNA from 1 species
GAACUUUUCACCUCAGCUGGAGUUCGAUCAAAAGUUUCCCUGGCAAGAGGAGGACUUAAAAGCUCCCUGUCAACUCUAACCGGCAAAUUAGAGUGAACCGAGUUCUGUUUAGGCAGAGAAUUGAGCUCCGGGAGCGGCAACGGCAGUGGCACAGCAGAGGAAUUAGAACAGUGACGGAGGUGGUGAGACGACCUAGAACCCGACCCGAAAUCAGCGUAAGAAUCAGGAGAACCCGGCAAAGACUUUGAACGUUCAUCAAUAAUCAGUGCCUGAAUAUUAGGUCUCCGUAAACCAAGAUCAUCAUCACUAACAUGUCUCAACUUCCUCUGCCUAGUAAGC